rnacentral:rRNA from 1 species
UACAGAGGUCUCAAGCGUUGUUCGGAUUCAUUGGGCGUAAAGGGUGCGUAGGCGGCGGGGUAAGUUUGAUGUGAAAUCCCGGGGCUCAACCCUGGAAUGGCAUUGAAUACUGCCUUGCUAGAGUACCGGAGAGGAAACUGGAAUUUACGGUGUAGCAGUGAAAUGCGUAGAGAUCGUAAGGAAGACCAGUGGCGAAGGCGGGUCUCUGGACAGUUCCUGACGCUGAGGCGCGAAGGCCAGGGGAGCAAACGGG